rnacentral:rRNA from 1 species
AGUGAACGCUGGCGGUAGGCCUAACACAUGCAAGUCGAACGGCAGCACAGUAAGAGCUUGCUCUUACGGGUGGCGAGUGGCGGACGGGUGAGGAAUACAUCGGAAUCUACUUUUUCGUGGGGGAUAACGUAGGGAAACUUGCGCUAAUACCGCAUACGACCUACGGGUGAAAGCAGGGGAUCUUCGGACCUUGCGCGAUUGAAUGAGCCGAUGUCGGAUUAGCUAGUUGGCGGGGUAAAGGCCCACCAAGGCGACGAUCCGUAGCUGGUCUGAGAGGAUGAUCAGCCACACUGGAACUGAGACACGGUCCAGACUCCUACGGGAGGCAGCAGUGGGGAAUAUUGGACAAUGGGCGCAAGCCUGAUCCAGCCAUACCGCGUGGGUGAAGAAGGCCUUCGGGUUGUAAAGCCGUUUUGUUGGGAAAGAAAAGCAGCAGGUUAAUACCCCGCUGUUCUGACGGUACCCAAAGAAUAAGCACCGGCUAACUUCGUG